UCGUAGCCGCGGAGGGGGAGGAGGGAUCACGAGGAGGGCUGCCCGGCCGCGCCUCUCGCCCGGCCUCACCGGCCCUCUGCCCUCCGCCCCAGCCCGCACGCACCUCGGUAGUGCCCAGCGCGCGACGUGCUUCUCGCCGCUCCCCUGCCUUCUUCCAGGCUCCCUAGAGCACCGAAAUGGAAGAUGCUUUCUGGGUAUCUGGGGGAAGAACUGUUUUCCUCCCACAAUUGUGCUCGUCCAAUCAGUAUUUACUGAUGCCUACGAUGUCCUGGAUACUUACCAAGGGGAACAAAACUGGAACCGACUCGAACCCUGACUGCCUUCAAGUGGCUUGAAGAUUAACAGAGAUCGGACUUCUGCGUAAGUAGCCUCGGUACGAGAUAUUAUAUGGGGAAGGUCAUAGGUACAGAUAAAUAAUGCUCGGGAGUUGGGAGGAUCAGAAAAUCUACAAACAGAUCUAGAUGGAUGGAUAUGGAUGUGAUGUGCAAAGGUAUGGAGGAGGAGCCAGCCAGACUGAGGGGAAAGCCUCAACCAAGGCAGAGUCAUGGGUCAGUGUUAGUUUGUUCUCGCAGGUAGCUGGACGCUGAUAGGAAAGCAGAUGCAGCCACGCUAGAACAUUUUAUCUUCUUUCUUUAGCAAAUUGCUGAUAGUAGAUACUGCUGCCACUUCAAACUCAACAGGAUUCAAUUUCCUCUCUUUCCCACCUGGUCAAAGUCAACUUCUCUGGUAAUUCCAACCCCUCCACCCCCACCCCCAAAAGAACACUGCAUCUUUUGUGACUUCCUUUAGAGACCAAAGAAAUGAAUAAUGAAAGCAAACCGAAGCAAAUGCAAGUGCAGUGCGGUGGUGAUCUUGGCCUUUUUUGAGUAUGAAGGGAAUACUCACUCAUGCAGGGUCUGUGACUGAUGGACGGACGUACAGAGUGCGCUGAAAUAAUUCCUAGGGAAGAGAGCUCACCAUCUCAAAAGGCAGCCAAUUCCACUAUGGUAAAGAUUUAAAAUUUCUUAUUCCAGCCAAAAAAAUCACCCUCCCUGAAACCUAUAAGGGAACAAAAUAGUAGUCUUCAUCUUUUUCAUGACAGCACUUCAAAUAAAUUGCAGUCUUAAUUA